CACGUAGGGGGCAAGCGUUGUCCGGAUUUAUUGGGCGUAAGGAGCUCGUAGGUGGUUCGGUAAGUCAGGUGUGAAACCUCCAGGCUCAACCUGGAGCCGCCACCUGAUACUGCGAUGGCUAGAGUCCGGUAGGGGAUCACGGAAUUCCUGGUGUAGCGGUGAAAUGCGCAGAUAUCAGGAGGAACACCGGUGGCGAAGGCGGUGAUCUGGGCCGGUACUGACGCUGAGGAGCGAAAGCGUGGGGAGCGAACAGG
rnacentral:rRNA from 1 species